rnacentral:rRNA from 1 species
CCCUUAGAUGUCCGGGGCCGCACGCGCGCUACACUGAAGGAAUCAGCGUGGCUUUCUCCCUGACCCGAAAGGGUUGGGAAACCCGUUGAAUCUCCUUCGUGAUAGGGAUUGGGGCUUGAAAUUGUUCCCCAUGAACGAGGAAUUCCCAGUAAGCGCGAGUCAUAAGCUCGCGUUGAUUACGUCCCUGCCCUUUGUACACACCGCCCGUCGCUACUACCGAUUGAAUGGCUUAGUGAGGCUUCCGGAUUGGUUUAGAGAAGGGGGCAACUCCAUCUUGGAACCGAGAAGCUAGUCAAACUUGGUCAUUUAGAGGAAGUAAAAGUCGUAACA